GUCAUAGGCAGAGAGGAAGGGGCAAAGACCCAGAACUACUGUGCCUGGCUGGAGCAGGGUCUUCAUGGGGCGUGAAGACGAUAAAUUUAACUGAAACCCACAGAAUCACAUAAUGAGUCAGCACAGAAUCAGAAUCCCAGAUUGCUACCACAGGGGCGAGGAAGGAGCUCUCCAUGGAACACCCGUCAGGUGGCAGAGGCCAUCAGUGGGGCAGACAGCAUGUACCCACCUGAGAAACACCGAGCUGGGGCUGUC